rnacentral:rRNA from 1 species
UAUUAUUUUAAGUGUUAAAUUUGCUUACCAGGGUACUGUUAGCUAAGGUCUUUAAACCCAAAGAAUUUGGCGGUAUCUCAUUCCAUUCAGAGGAGCCUACCCCGUGAUUGAUAGUACACGAUUGACUUUACUUAAUUUAUUUGUUUGUAUAUCUCCGUUAUCAGAGAAUCUUUUUAGAGUUAUAAUUUUCUUGAUUUAUAAUUAUAAAAUAUUUCAGGUCAAGGUGCAGCUUAUAGUUAAGAGGAGGUGGGUUACAAUAGAUUUUUGUUUAUUACGGAUUUGAUGGUGAAAAACUGUUGAUAAAGGUGGAUUUGAUAGUAAUUUAAUUUAGUUAAUUUAAUUGAUAUUGGCUCUGAGGUGUGUACACAUCGCCCGUCACUCUCAUUAUUGAUCAUUAUACUUAAAAUUUUUUGGUAGGGUAUGUUCAAAUUAGAUGAG